AAAAAGGCUUGGGAUUUUAAUAGGGAUUGCACUAAAUCUGUACAUUGCUUUACUUGGUAUAUGGAAUAGAUUAAAUAUUGUGUCCCCUUAAAAUUCAUAUGUUGAAACCUAAUCCCCAAUAUGAUGAGGUUCUUUGGAGGUGGGGCAUUUGUGAUGUGAUUAGGUCAUGAGGAUGGAGUCCUCAAAAGUAGGAUUAAUGACCUAUGGAAGAAAACCCACAGAGUUUCUUUACCCUAACAUCAGGUAAGAAAAUUACCUUCUGUGAGCCAAAAAACAGGCCCUUAUAAGCUACCACAUCUGCUGGGCCUUAGUCUUGUGAUUCCCAGCCUCCAAAACUGUGAGAAAUAAGUUUAUAUUGUUUAUAAGCUACUAGGUCUGCUUUAGCAUCUCAAAUGAACAAGAACAAUAAAUAUGAAUGGACUUGUUUCUGGGUUUUCUAUGCCAUUCCAUUGGUCUGUAUGUUUGUUUUUACAGUUUUGAUUCCUGUAGCUUUUCAAUGUGUUUUGAAACAUAGUAAAGGCCAUAUAAGAGAAGCCCAUAGCUAACAUGAUAAUGGUGAGAAAACUUGUAUAUGCCUUUACUAUGCUGAGGCACUUUUCUUAUAUUUAUUAUAUUUCUUAUAUUCCAAGUUUGUUCCCUGUAUAUAAAGUUUUUAUCAUGAAAGGCUGUUGCAUUUUAUUAAGUGCUUUUUCUGCUUCUAUUGAGAUGAUCAGGUGAUUUUUGCAUCCUUUAUUGUGUUAAUGUGGUGUUAAACAUUAAUUGAUUUUCAUAUCCUGAAAUAGCUUUACAACCAAUGGAUAAAUCCCACUUGGUCAUGUGCAUGGUUCUUUUAAUGUGCUACUGAAUUCACCUAGCUAGCUUGUCAUUGAGAGUUUUUGCUUUUGUAUUCAUCAGAGCUAGGCUGUUCUGUGGUGUCUAUGUUUGGCUUUUGUAUUAGGAUAAAUGUUGACCACAUAAUAUGAGUUUGAGAAGAAUUGGCAUUAAUUCUUUAAACAAUGGGAGAGUUUGCCAGUGAUGCCAUGCAAUCUGCAGCUUUUCUUUGUUUGGAGGUUUCUGAUUCAAUUGGUAUUUAAGCUCUUUUCAUUUUUGUUAAUGUAGAAGUUUAUCACAGUUUAUUCAAUCUCCAUAUGAGUUAUAGGUCUAUUCAGAUUUUCUGUUUCUUAAUGGUCAGUCUUGGAGCCUUUUUCUAGAAUUUAUCCACUUUUCCAAGGUAAGAAACUUGCUGGUGUAUAAUUAUUCAUAGCCUGACAGAGGUCCACUUCACAUUUUGAACACAGCCCUUUCUGCUUAUUUUUAAAGGGACAUGUUUUUCUUUUUCUCUUUUCCCUCUCCCCAUCUUUAACCUUGGAGGCAGGGAACAAGAUUUCCUCGAGUUAUCUGUUCUCCACAGUAAGGGGAUAUCACCAGAAGGAACAGGAAGUAACUAUCUCCCAAAAUGAACAAGUGAAUUUCAACACACCAACAGGGCACUCCUGGGACCCUGUGUCAGGGCACACCUGGAAUGUAGCCUUUGAAAAGCUUCCUUAAAAAUUCUCUGUUUUUCUGUAUAGGCAGAAUUAUAGCCUCUGGGACAGGUGUCCCCUGUGUUUCUCCUUUGCUAGCAAAACAAUAAAACUUCUGUUUCCCAAAACUGUGUCCUUGUUUUUAGAUUGGCAUUGGGAACAAGGAUGGAGAUGUUGGUAACAAAAUUGGCACCCUAGAUGGGACCUGAAAGCAGCCUUUGAUCCAGCUUUCUUGGGCAGAUCUCACUCAACCCCACUACUAUUAUGAGGAUGUAAGGCAGACUUUUUGAGAGCUGACUGCUGGAAAGGUGGCAUCACUGGCAGAGAAAAGCUAAAGGAGCCAAAAGCCUUUGCACAUGUCUUCAAGAGUGGUCUCUGAGGAAUCUCAGCUGAAGAGUACAUAGGAACAAGGUCGGGUUGCCUCAGGAAGAGUCUGGGAGAUCAAAUCUUGAAUACAAUCAACUUACAUAUUUUAAAAGAACCUGCCUCAAAAGAGAAAAUGCGCUCAAGCUAUGAAAAAAGAUUAUAUUUUUUAAAAAAGCAUAGACAUAAAAUUUACUGGUAGUAAAAGAUAAAGCCAAGAAACAAGCUAUUCUCUUAUUACCCAGUUCUAUCUGCUCCUGUAUUUUAUAUAACAUUUUGGUAAAAGUGGGAGUUGGUUCCUUUUUCCCAACCUGAAAAUUCUAUCUUACAAUAAAGGAUCUAUUUAUGCUUGUGUUUACAAACUGUA